rnacentral:rRNA from 1 species
CUUGAUGAACGCUGGCGGCGUGCCUAACACAUGCAAGUCGAGCGUUGCACUUUGCUUAGAUUCUUCGGAUGAAGAGGAUUGUGACUGAGCGGCGGACGGGUGAGUAACGCGUGGGUAACCUGCCUCGUACAGGGGGAUAACAGUUAGAAAUGACUGCUAAUACCGCAUAAGACCACAGCACCGCAUGGUGCAGGGGUAAAAACUCCGGUGGUAUGAGAUGGACCCGCGUCUGAUUAGCUAGUUGGUAAGGUAACGGCUUACCAAGGCGACGAUCAGUAGCCGACCUGAGAGGGUGACCGGCCACAUUGGGACUGAGACACGGCCCAAACUCCUACGGGAGGCAGCAGUGGGGAAUAUUGCACAAUGGGGGAAACCCUGAUGCAGCGACGCCGCGUGAGCGAAGAAGUAUUUCGGUAUGUAAAGCUCUAUCAGCAGGGAAGAAAAUGACGGUACCUGACUAAGAAGCACCGGCUAAAUACGUGCCAGCAGCCGCGGUAAUACGUAUGGUGCAAGCGUUAUCCGGAUUUACUGGGUGUAAAGGGAGCGUAGACGGAUGGGCAAGUCUGAUGUGAAAACCCGGGGCUCAACCCCGGGACUGCAUUGGAAACUGUUCAUCUAGAGUGCUGGAGAGGUAAGUGGAAUUCCUAGUGUAGCGGUGAAAUGCGUAGAUAUUAGGAGGAACACCAGUGGCGAAGGCGGCUUACUGGACAGUAACUGACGUUGAGGCUCG